UACGUAGGUGGCGAGCGUUAUCCGGAAUUAUUGGGCGUAAAGCGCGCGCAGGCGGUUCCUUAAGUCUGAUGUGAAAGCCCACGGCUCAACCGUGGAGGGUCAUUGGAAACUGGGGAACUUGAGUGCAGAAGAGAAGAGCGGAAUUCCACGUGUAGCGGUGAAAUGCGUAGAGAUGUGGAGGAACACCAGUGGCGAAGGCGGCAUCCUGGACCGACACUGACGCUGAGGAGCGAAAGCCAGGGGAGCAAACGGG
rnacentral:rRNA from 1 species